CAGCAGCCGCGGUAAUACGAAGGGUGCAAGCGUUACUCGGAAUUACUGGGCGUAAAGCGUGCGUAGGUGGUGGUUUAAGUCCGUUGUGAAAGCCCUGGGCUCAACCUGGGAAUUGCAGUGGAUACUGGGUCACUAGAGUGUGGUAGAGGAUAGUGGAAUUUCCGGUGUAGCAGUGAAAUGCGUAGAGAUCGGAAGGAACAUCUGUGGCGAAGGCGACUAUCUGGGCCAACACUGACACUGAGGCACGAAAGCGUGGGGAGCAAACAGGAUUAGAUACCCGAGUAGUCCCUGUCUCUUAUAA
rnacentral:rRNA from 1 species